rnacentral:rRNA from 1 species
CGUAGGGGCGAGCGUUGUCCGGAAUUACUGGGGCGUAAAAGGGUUCGCAGGCGGCAUGACAAGUCCGAUGUAAAAAGGCGAAAAGCUCAACUUUCGUAAGCAUCGGAAACUGUCAAGCUUGAGUGAAGGAGAGGCAAGUGGAAUUCCUAGUGUAGCGGUGGAAUGCGUAGAUAUUAGGAGGAAUACCGGUGGCGAAGGCGACUUGCUGGACUUCAACUGACGCUGAGGAACGAAAGCGUGGGUAGCAAACAGGAUU